rnacentral:rRNA from 1 species
GGAUUAGAUACCCUGGUAGUCCUAGCCGUAAACGAUGGGGACUUGGUGUAGGGAGGAAUAACUCUCUGUGCCGGCGAUAACUCGUUAAGUCCCCCGCCUGGGGAGUACGAUCGCAAGGCUGAAACUCAAAGGAAUUGACGGGGACCCGCACAAGCGGUGGAGCAUGUGGUUUAAUUCGACGCAACGCGAAGAACCUUACCGGGGUUUGAACAGCUAGCGCGAUCUGCAGAGAUGUAGAGUUCCCUUCGGGGACGUUAGUAGAGGUGCUGCAUGGCUGUCGUCAGCUCGUGCCG